UGACAGUACUCCUACGGGGAGGCAGCAGUGGGGGAAUAUUGCACAAUGGGCGCAAGCCUGAUGCAGCCAUGCCGCGUGUGUGAAGAAGGCCUUCGGGUUGUAAAGCACUUUCAGUCGUGAGGAAGGUGGUAGUGUUAAUAGCACUAUCAUUUGACGUUAGCGACAGAAGAAGCACCGGCUAACUCCGUGCCAGCAGCCGCGGUAAUACGGAGGGUGCGAGCGUUAAUCGGAAUUACUGGGCGUAAAGCGCAUGCAGGUGGUUUGUUAAGUCAGAUGUGAAAGCCCGGGGCUCAACCUCGGAAUAGCAUUUGAAACUAGGCAGACUAGAGUACUGUAGAGGGGGGUAGGAAUUUCAGGUGUAGCGGUGAAAUGCGUAGAGAUCUGAAGGAAUACCGGUGGCGAAGGCGGCCCCCUGGACAGAUACUGACACUCAGAUGCGAAAGCGUGGGGAGCAAACAGGAUUAGAUACCCUGGUAG
rnacentral:rRNA from 1 species